GAUGAACGCUGGCGGCGUGCCUAAUACAUGCAAGUCGAGCGAACGGACGAGAAGCUUGCUUCUCUGAUGUUAGCCGCGGACGGGUGAGUAACGCGUGGAUAACCUACCUAUAAGACUGGGAUAACUUCGGGGAACCGGAGCUAAUACCGUAUAAUCUUUUGAACCGCGUGGGGCAAUAGUGAAAGACGGUCUUGCUGGCACUUAUAGAUGGAUACGGGCUGGUUUGGCUAGUUGGGAAGGUAACGGGUUACCAAGGCAAGGAUGCAUAGACGACGGGUGAGGCGGAUAGCCGACCUGAGAAGGUGACCAGCGACAAUAGUCCUAAGGGAGGGACCAGUAGGGAACGUGCCGCAACGGGCGAAAGCCUGACGGAGCAACGCCGCGCGAGUGAUGAAGGCCUUGGGAUCGUAAAACCCGGUUACGAGGGAAGAACAGAUGUGUAAGUAACUGUGCACAUCGUGACGGUACCUAAUCAGAAAGCAACGGCUAACUACGUG
rnacentral:rRNA from 1 species